rnacentral:rRNA from 1 species
AUCUAAGUAGGCGGAGGAGAAGAAAACAAAAGUGAUUCCGUAAGUAGUGGCGAGCGAACGCGGAUUAGCCCAAACCAAUGUUGUUACGGCAAUGUUGGGGUUGUAGGACCACGUUAUUUGUUGCGGAUAGAAUUAGAAUUUACUGGAAAGUAAAGCCAAAGAAGGUGAUAGCCCUGUAUAAGUAAUAGAAGAUAACGAUAGUGGUAUCCUGAGUAGGGCGGGACACGAGAAAUCCUGUCUGAAUUUGGCGGGACCAUCCGCUAAGGCUAAAUACUCCUGAGAGACCGAUAGUGAACCAGUACCGUGAGGGAAAGGUGAAAAGAACCGUGAAUAACGGAGUGAAAUAGAUCCUGAAACCAUACGCUUACAAGCGGUCGGAGCCCUUUCGUGGGGUGACGGCGUGCCUUUUGCAUAAUGAGCCUACGAGUUAACGUUGCUGGCAAGGUUAAGUGAUUAAGUCACGGAUCCGUAGCGAAAGCGAGUCUGAAUAGGGCGCUUUAGUCAGUAGUGUUAGACGCGAAACCGUGUGAUCUACCCAUGGACAGGAUGAAGCUGUGGUAACACAUAGUGGAGGUCCGAACCCGUUGACGUUGAAAAGUCUUGGGAUGAUCUGUGGGUAGGGGUGAAAGGCCAAUCAAACUCGGAAAUAGCUCGUACUCCCCGAAAUGCAUUUAGGUGCAGCGUUAUGGUUAAAGUUAUAUAGAGGUAGAGCUACUGAUUGGAUGCGGGGGCUUCACCGCCUACCAAUUCCUGACAAAC